GGCAGUGGCGUCAGCACAGACGCAUUUGUGACAUACCUACAACUGUUGCUUCGGCGGGUAGGCCGUCCCCUGAAAAGGACGCCUCCCGGCCCGGACCGGACCCCCCGCGGGACCGGACCCGGCGCCCGCCGGAGGAUAACCAAACUCUAUUGUAACGACGUUUCUUCUGAGUGGCAUAAGCAAAAUAAUCAAAACUUUUAACAACGGAUCUCUUGGUUCUGGCAUCGAUGAAGAACGCAGCGAAAUGCGAUAAGUAAUGUGAAUUGCAGAAUUCAGUGAAUCAUCGAAUCUUUGAACGCACAUUGCGCCCGCCAGCAUUCUGGCGGGCAUGCCUGUUCGAGCGUCAUUUCAACCCUCAAGCUCUGCUUGGUGUUGGGGCUCUACGGUCGACGUAGGCCCUCAAAGGUAGUGGCGGACCCUCCCGGAGCCUCCUUUGCGUAGUAACAUUUCGUCUCGCACUGGGAUCCGGAGGGACUCUUGCCGUAAAACCCCCCAAUUUUCCAAAGGUUGACCUCGGAUCAGGUAGGAAUACCCGCUGAACUUAAGCAUAUCAAUAAGCGAAGAAAAGGA
rnacentral:rRNA from 1 species